rnacentral:tRNA from 1 species
GUCCCCUUCGUCUAGAGGCCUAGGGGAGGACACCGCCCUUUCACGGCGGUAACAGGGGUUCGAAUCCCCUAGGGGGACGCCA